CCCUUAGAUGUUCUGGGCCGCGCGCGCGCUACACUGACGAAUGCAACGAGCUUAUAACCUUGGCCGAAAGGUCUGGGUAAUCUCCAAAUUUCGUCGUGAUGGGGAUAGAUUAUUGCAAUUAUUAAUCUUCAACGAGGAAUGCCUAGUAAGCGCAAGUCAUCAGCUUGCGUUGAUUACGUCCCUGCCCUUUGUACACACCGCCCGUCGCUCCUACCGAUUGAAUGGUCCGGUGAAGCGUUCGGACCGUGGCCUUUGGACGGUUCGCCGUCUGUUGGCUGCGGGAAGUUCGUUAAACCUUAUCAUUUAGAGGAAGGAGAANUCGUAACA
rnacentral:rRNA from 1 species